ensembl:lncRNA
UUAUUUUCUCACCUUUUUUGUCACCUUACAGAACUGUUUCGGUUUCGUUUCAUUAUCUUUGUUAUUUUGUUUAGUGUUCUGAGUUUAAAUUAAUAUGAACACUUACCACGCUGCGAUUUGGUCCUCCUCUCCUUCCACCAACAAUGGCUGUUACAAAUAUAUGAUUACAUAAAUCAAUAUUUUGUCACAUAUAUGCCGGGAGUCAGGAAGCAAAUGCAGAAGCUCUGCCUUGGGGCGGCAAUACUCUCCCGGCUGUACCCAGGGUCCCUUGCCAUCCAGGAUCUCUUCCCAUGUCCAGGAGUCUGGAGAUCGCUGCUGCUGCCUGUUACCACGCUGCUUGGUCCUUUGGUGGUGGGUGAUUCUGUAACGGUCUUCUUCUCUGACGAGGAAGAGUAGUAGGAAGGAUCGGAGGACCAAUGCACAGCGUGGCAGCAGCUGAUGUGACUGAGAAAGGAGGUGGGCUGAACACUGUCUCAAGGAAAAAAAUCCUCAUUGGAGAGGACCAUAUCAGGUUUUAUUGACCACCCGACUGAGGUAAAGGUAGCUGAGAGGGACACCUGGAUUCACGUCUCACACUGCAGACGAGUUCCUGCCCCUGAGGAGGAUGGCAGGAGUCCCAUCCCUAGGCUGUCUGGCCUUGCUGUCUGGAUCUGCACCAUUGUGUUGAUUGGAACAGUUGGUUGCCCUCCAGUGGGUGACCAUUCAGGUGAAGAUGAAAGUACUGAGCCAAAGGAACCACCACACACCCGGAGUAGUGGUCCAGAAGGAGAAGUCAGCCGAAGGAAAUGAGAAGUACAAAUUCAAGAUGAGGGAGGGAAUCUGUUUCUCUCUCAAGCUGAAAUGGUGGGAAAUGUCACCUCAUAUAAGACUUAUUGUUGGGUAUGUGGGUUGGGUCCUGUGGGAGUAGGUAAGGGGUUGUAGGGGUUCCCUUGGGGGUGAACUUAACUAUUCAACUGUCCUCAAUAUUGUCAUUGGCCAAUUUCCCCCCAAAGAAUCCCGACCCCAUUACUUAUUUUGCGAUGUACAAGGCUGUUGUCAGCCUUGUAUAUCCUAGACCAAACAAUUACAGUGGCCCACCCAUCCCUAUAGUAGGAUCCCUGGUAGCCCCCUGGUGUAUUACAGGAAAUGGAAGUAACCAUUUGGGUGAAAUUCUUUGUAACUGUACUACGUUGGUUAAUGGUAGCAAUAACUGCUCUCUUGUGGUACAUGAUUCUGUUACAGAAACACCAGGAAAUGUGAAUUAUACAACUUCUGUUUACAAUAAGUAUAUUGCAAGGAGGCCCAAAUGGUAGCUAUUGAUUGUGUGGCCGAUUUUCUUAUUAUAGUUUACCACCUAAUUUGGGAGGGAAGUGUAUUGUUGGGUUUGUGGUGCCGGCCAUGAGAGUCCUUGGAAAAACUGCAACAGAAUUGAGGGUUCUGUUCAGAGAAUAUCAUCAGCUGACCCCUCGUUUUAAUAAGCGAUCCUUUGCAGAUGCCACUCAGGUGCAAACCUCCUCCCGAUUCGCUGGUGUUUAGCUGCCCCAAAAUGGAGUUGCAUGUGCCUUGGGGCAACAGGGUAGCCUAGUGGUUAGAGUGUUGGACUAGUAGCUGAAAGGUUGCAAGUUCAAAUCCCCGAGCUGACAAGGUACAAAUCUGUCGUUCUCCCCCUGAACAGGCAGUUAACCCACUGUUCCU